rnacentral:lncRNA from 1 species
GGGAAUAGAGGUGGGUUGUUCCUAUAAUCUUACAGAAUAUGCAGGUGAAAUUAUUAUCUUAGUACAUUUUAUUAUUUCUAAAAAUAUUGGAUAAAAUAUGAUCAAGGAGGUUGGUGCUAGGACUUGCCUUCAUUAACAUUCUUUAAUGCUUCCUAGGGCGACCAGGCCUUCAACUUCAUGUCAUUCUGGAUCCUUAGCUUUGGGGUGGAUCCUGGUUGUCUAUCAGCUAUAAAAGGCAUAUAAAAUAACAAUCAAUCUAACAAUACAUCAAUCAAAUAUCUAAGAAAUGGGAAGAGAGGAGGAUGAUGGAUGUUUUGGCAAUUACUUGCAUUUAAGGGUGAAUUCCCGGAUAUAGGAUGAAUGGUUUAUUAAUUAUUUAGAAAUAAGUUUCUCAAUAAUUAAUGGAUAGAAUGGUUGGAUUUUAAAAAGAAUUCUAAGGAAUUUAUGAGCGGAUUUCCUAGGGUUUUGGAUGAUAAUUUGAGGUUUUGGAUGGUGGCACUACGGCUAGGUUGGGAUGAUAUUUGGGAGUUUCAAUUGGACAGCAUAACGAUUGUGUUUGGACGAGGAUUGAGUUUUUGGUCCGGCGGCAUAAUGGUUAUGCUAGGAGGCUAUCUAAGGUUCUACUUGAGCAGCAUAAUGGCUAUGCGGUAGAACGGACCAGAGAUUUGAGUAGAUCCUUAAGGGGUUGGGGUCACUAAAGAGUAGCAGUUGAGAGCUUGUGCGACAGUUGGUCUGUCCCGGCACUAGGGGAUAGUACACAUGGUGACAGAUGCAGUCGGGCAAGAUCAAGUAGGAUAGAAACUAGAGAGCUUGUACAACGAACACCACUUUGUCCUGGUGCUAGGGGAUAGCACACAUGGCAAUAGAGGGGCCGGUAUAAGAUCAGGUAGAUGCGCGACAGCGAUAGGGGUUAGCAGCGAUGAUAGGGCAGCGAGGAACAGCUAGCUAGGUGUUGCUAACAAUGCUGGUAAGGUGGCUAGAGGCCGCACGACACACUCGGCUUCGACCCGUCCCAGCACCUAGGGUUUAGGGCAUGGCAACAGGUGAAGGCGGUGCGGCAUCUUUUCUAGUAAGGUUGAGCUCUAAGAUCAAAGUAAAGGGACAUGUAUGGGGUAUAAUUGUGGAAGUAAGUCUUGGAAUAGGUUUAGAUGGCUCUAAGAUAUUUUUAGAAAUUUUCCUAGGAUUUUUUAGAAUUGAGAUGGGCAAGAUUCGGAUUUUUGGGUGCAUUUAUAAAGUGUUUUCCUAUUAGGUGACAGGAGAGUAUUUUGGAAAAGGGCUCUAAUGAGAUGAACAAUGGAAAAUAAAGGCAUGGACAGGUUUGGAAUGAUCCCUAGUAUUUUUGGAAUUUUUUGGGGAGUUGGGCCCAUCUUCAGGCUGAGUGAGAGAGGGAGAUGAUGGCAGGAGGGACGAAGGGGAGACGGUGCGUGCCGGUUUGGCCGGCGGGGCACUGGAAUUACGCCGGAUCGGCGAUUUCGGUCGGCGUCAGCCCUUCGGCUAGCACCGGGAGGUAGAUAAGGGUGAGGCGAGUCGGGUGGGGAGGUUGUGGAGUGGAAUAGGGAAGAGAAAGUACCUAGCCACGAGGAGGGCUGGAGCUUAAUCUCCUUGGCUUGGUGUGCUAGGGAAAGGGUGGGGUAGGGCACCUUUUAUAGGCUAGAGCAGCGUGCGGGGAGUGGCCACGUCCCUGGGGCUACUUGAUGGCCAAGGAACGCGGUGCUAGCGUGGCACAGGGAUGAGGCCGAUUGGGGGGAAAGUCUCGACGACCGACAUUGAUGGCGGGCAGCGGGUGUUAGGAGGCGGUGCAAGGUGGAUGAGGUAGCAGGAGGUGUGGGGGAUAAGGGAGAGGAGUUGGAGGAGCUGUCUUGGCGGUGAAGCAAGGGGAGGAGGAGCACCGGCGACCGAUAGAGUGGGUGAGGACGGUGUGGUUGUGGCUCAGGUGGUAGUGCGGUAGGAUGUUAGGGGGAUGAGGAGAUAAUGAAGAGGGGAGUGAGCACGUGGGCGCCUGAUCAGUGAAGGGGAGGCGCACCUGCGGCAAUGUCCAGCAUGGUGACGUGGUAAAAAAAAAGGGUAGUGGCGUAGUGAAGAUGGCACGGCGACGGACGGAUUGACGGUGGUGGCACUGGCGUCAGUGGGAGGAAGGUGAAGGAGGGAGCGGCAUCAGGUUGGGCUAGCUGCGCUGUGGUGCUCGGCCGAGGCAGGUGCGGUGAAGCUAGGCCGAAGGGGUAACUGGGCCAGCUCAGUGUGAGCAAGAGGUAGAGGUGGGCCAGGCGGAAUGGAAGGAUGGGCUGAAUGGAAGGUUGUUAGCCCGUUUAGCAUUUGAAGGGUUUUUCAUUUGAUUGGAUGGAGUUUUAAGUUCAAAUUUGAGGGGGGUUUGGGGUCUGAGCUUGAGGGGGACAUGAAAAUGGGACAUUUUAAAAGGUUUUGGGGUUCAUGAGUGUUUGAAUAUUUCUAGGUUUUAGAUGGCGGUGUUAUGGUGGUCAGAAUGGAAUUAGGUUUUUGAGAGAAAGAAUUUAGGGAAAUAUGUUCCUAAUAUUUUAGAUUUCAAGGAUGUAAUGAUGGAGGGGUUUGGGUAUAGAUUGAGUCAAGGAUUUGAAUAGCACUCAGAAGUAAUUUGGAAUAGGGUUCGGACAGGUUUAAUAUUUGAAUAAAAUUCAAAUAUUAAUCUAGGAAGGGUUUUAUUAGGAGGAAUAUUUCUAGAGCAACCAAAUGCAACACAUAUGCUCAAAUUUAUGCUAGGUUUAUUUGUAAAAAGAGUUUUGAAUAUUUGGGAGAAAAGAAGUAUAUUAUAUGUAAAGAAAUUUUUUAAAAAGCCCGUAUUUUUGAAUGCUCUGAAAAGCGGGAUGUUGCAGAUCUACCCCGCUUAAGGGAAUCUCGUCCUCAAGAUUCAAGGGUUAGAAAGAAAGGUUAGGAUUGUCUUGGCUUCUUCUCGAUAGUUGCACCAUGCUUCUUAUUCUGCAGUGCUCUUCAGGAGUUUCUUAUUCCAUCCUUGGCUUAUUCUUGUAUUGGGAUCUUCUUUCCUCAUGAAUCUUUUAAUCCAAAUAAUCUUUUCCCAAUCUCUAUCUUCUAAACCUUGAGUUUUCUCAAAUUUUAGGGGAAAGAAUUUGUCUCGUAUUUUGUUCUUGUUUUCCAUGGAACGGGGAUUUUAUUCUUUAUCCUUAUUUUUCCAUUAUUCCCCAGAGUGUAUUCCAUCUUUAAUUCAAAUAUUCUGGACAAUCUUGAGUGCAACUUGGGAGGCGGCAAGAGGUACCUCUUUUCUUCGUUUUGUUUUAAUCCUCAAGUUCUCGAGUCUUG